rnacentral:tRNA from 1 species
GGCACAGUGGUCUAAUGGUAAGACUCUCACUACAUAGGGAUCUGCUGAUUUUAGGAAGGGGGUGGGUGAUCUGGGUUGAAUUCCCAGCUGAGCCA